rnacentral:rRNA from 1 species
CACGUAGGGUGCGAGCGUUGUCCGGAAUUAUUGGGCGUAAAGCGCACGUAGGCGGUUUGUUAAGUCGGAUGUGAAAUCCCUCGGCUCAACUGAGGAAGUGCAUCCGAAACUGGCAGGCUUGAGUACUAAAGAGGGUCGCGGAAUUCCCGGUGUAGAGGUGAAAUUCGUAGAUAUCGGGAGGAACACCGGUGGCGAGGGCGGCGACCUGGGUAGAUACUGACGCUGAGGCACGAAAGCGUGGGGAUCGAACAGG